rnacentral:misc_RNA from 1 species
UCCGGCUUAUCACCGGCAGUCCCCUUAGAGUGCCCAACUUAAUGCUGGCAACAUAGGACAGGGGUUGCGCUCGUUGCGGGACUUAACCCAACAUCUCACGACACGAUCUGACGACAGCCAUGCACCACCUGUGAUGGUGUCCCGAAGGAAAGGUGUGUUUCCACACCGGUCACCAACAUGUCAAACCCAGGUAAGGUUCUUCGCGUUGCGUCGAAUUAAUCCGCAUGCUCCACCGCUUGUGCGGGCCCCCGUCAAUUCCUUUGAGUUUCAGCCUUGCGGCCGUACUCCCCAGGCGGGGCACUUACUGCGUUAGCGACGGCACCGGGAGGGUCGCUCCCCCCGACGCCUAGUGCCCAUCGUUUACGGCGUGGACUAC